UACGGAGGGAGCUAGCGUUGUUCGGAAUUACUGGGCGUAAAGCGCACGUAGGCGGCUUGUUAAGUCAGGGGUGAAAUCCUGGAGCUCAACUCCAGAACUGCCUUUGAUACUGGCGAGCUUGAGUUCGGGAGAGAUGAGUGGAACUGCGAGUGUAGAGGUGAAAUUCGUAGAUAUUCGCAAGAACACCAGUGGCGAAGGCGGCUCACUGGUCCGGUACUGACGCUGAGGUGCGAAAGCGUGGGGAGCAAACAGG
rnacentral:rRNA from 1 species